AUUGUUAAGAUUACAUCUGAUAAAAUUGAAUAUUAAGGUUAAGAUUACGUCUACAAAUUUUAGAACAUGUAUUCUUAUUAGUUUAGAAUUCUUUACCCAUAAGUAAAUAGAUUACCCUAGUCCACUUUGACGUCUCUUCUUUUGUUCCUUAUUUCUUUUUCUCCACGUUUCAUCUCUUCUUAUUCUUCCUUCGUCCCCUCUUCUUCUUUCUUCUUUCUUCUCCCUAGUCACGAUCUUUAAGUAAUUGUGAGACAAACAAUUAUGUUGCAGAUCUAUGUUACUUGUGGUGUAUGGAGAUCAUUUGCUAAUAAAGAGUGGAAAUUUAUUGUUGAUGAAGAAAAAUGUGCAAGAUUACUCACCUUGCAAUCUACAACAACUCUUGAAGACCUAUUGAUG
rnacentral:lncRNA from 1 species